UCUCAAACAUUGAAAUUAGCUUUGGCAUCAGCAUUCGUUUCAGAUGUCCUUCCCUUUGGUUAUUCUAAUUAGCCUAUUUUUAAGGUUACUAUAGUUUGUGAUUUUAGGUUAUUGCUUUCUUUAUAUCUUGAAUCCAAAUUAUAUAUUUUUACUCUUAAUAGGAAAAACUUAAAUAAAUAAUAGUCUUUCAUGUAAGUAUUAGUAGAUCUCAGCAACAUGUUUAUUCCAGCAGACAAUGUCUAAGAAAGACUGGUAAAGUUUUGAGGCAGAUUGUUUUAGUAUCAGAUUAAAGUUAAAUUAUAACUGUAUGGUGCCAGAAAUACGCUUUCCUCUCUGAGUGCAUUCUAGUCUGAUAUAAUGCUAGAAACUCCCUUUUUUUUGGAGUCAAAUUGUAAGAAAUUAAGAGAUGGUGUUGAGCUCUUCUGUUUUCAUUUUAAAGAUACCUGGAUAAGAAGCUCAGAGUCCACCUCUGAUAACCAGUGUUACACCUGCAGUCGUUUUAUAGGUACUGAAAUGUGGAGCCUCCCCCAGCCUACUCUCAGCUCCUGUUUUUCUGUUUUUGUUUUAAAGAUAUCUAGAAAAGAGGAUCUGUAGCCCUCUGAUAACUAACGCUAUGAUUGGAGCCAUUUCAUAGACACUGAAAUCUGGAAUCUUCCCCAAUCCACUUUUUGCUUUGUGGUUUUAUGUCUCUUUGCUUUGGACUCCGUUUGCUUCUGCUCGUGGUUUUUCUGGUUUAAAAGUGUCUUUUUCUUUUUAAAUAGAUGCUUCAAAAAAAAUACCCCGUGGCCUCCUCAACUUUAUACUCAAGCAGCUAGCUGCUUCUUGUUUAUAGAAAACUUUUUUCCUCAUCAUGGCAUCUCUGUUAGACUGUGUGUGUGCUUUCAUCUUUGCAUUUCGAUCACUUGUUAUCCAACGUUCUGCUUUCUUUGAACUCUUUUUUAGACUGCCUUUGAUUGGGACACAUUAUUAAAUAAGUAAUAAUUCUCUUUACUGUGUAGCUCUUAAGUUAGUAGUUUUUUCCUGCUGUACCCAUACUGUUUUUGCAGUAGUGGUAUGUUAUUGUUCUUCAUAUUUAGGGUGCCAUUCCUCCACGGGGGUAGGAGGUAUUUUACAAACUUUAAAUUGUUAAGUUGGGAGUAAUUCUCAGAACACCCUUCUGAGGUAAGACAAAAAUGCACCAAACGUUGUAAUAUGUUGGUCAUCCUACCUCACCCCUCCCCAAAGCUAUGAAACCAAAGAAGUCAAGCGCGAAUGAUUGGAUGGUAUUGUAAAUGCUAGUGAUGGGAGGAACAGGCAUUUUUUUUUUUUUAAACUCAUCCCCUUCUUUAAAUUGUGAAACAUAAUCUUUCUUCUUUCUUAAGGUUGAGGCCUGACUAAGAGAAAGUUUUCAGAAAGGAACACUAGUGAAGUGAAAGAAAUCUGAUGAAACUUCGAAAUUUAAUAGACAGAAAGGUUUUGUGUGGAAAGAAUGAAAAGAGACAAGAUUUGGCAGUAUCUUUCGCCUCUAAAUCAUGCCUGGGCUCUGUGGAGUUUUUCUUUAGUUGUCAUCUGUGCUGUAGCUUUUUUAUCUAGGCUGCUUUGUUUACCUUAUGCUUUCAGCUAUCUGGACAUUUGGAUCUCAACUGAGGAAACUUGUGAUGUCAGGUUGAAAAUCAAGGUCUUCUGAGAUGCUUCUCUGACACUCUGUACCUCAGAGAUGACUGCUGGGAAGGGCAUUUAAUGAACAAAGCAGCCAUGAUUGCAUCAGAUUCUUUGCCUAAUAAGGCAGCGUGUAAAUAAAUCUAUGUGUGAACUCACAGGGUUUUCUUCUCUGUAUUUCCUUAAAUGCACUUUCAUGUUUUUGUGUAUCUGUGAAUUUUCUCUAAGUGGCAAAUCUAUCAAAUAGAUGCAUCUUGAUUCAGUGAUUUGCAAGCUGUCUGGAACGUGGUUGUUUAGUGGAUUAGAGUAUUUUAAUCGUAUAUAUAAAUACAAUUCUUUUCUUGCCUGAAAUGUUAGACUUCUUUAGUAAAUAUUAGCCCCUAUUGUUUUGAGACAUCCAAAAUUUGAUACUCACUCUCUUUAUUUGAAACAACAACUCGCCAAAGAUCACAAAUGAGCUCUAGGCAUUUCUUUCAUUUGUAAAAUGAAAGCCUCAAUCUGGUGAAGCUCCGGUGAAACUGUACAUUCGAAAGGGCCAGCUUCAGGCCUGGCAUCUAGUGCUUGUGCAAUAUCUAAUAGUUUAAAAGAAAUGUCUGGGCUCACAGUACAAAGCUCUUACCCAUAAACCCAUUGCCAUCAAGUCAAUUUUGACUCAUAGCAACCCUAUAGGACAGAAUAGAACUGCCCUAUGGGGUUUCCAAGGAGCUCCUAGUGGAUUCAAACUGCCGACCUUUUGGUUAGCAGCCAUACACUUAAAUACUAUGCAACCAGGGUUUCCACAAAGCCCUUUGUUGUCUGUUUUUUUGAAUAGUGAUGAGAAGUUUGCUGUUGGCAGUUUAUUUUCACAUGAAAGAAUCGUAUAAAGUACACUUCAUGGCAGAAUGUAAAUUUUGUAAUAAGUGCAGAACGAUUUUCAAAUAGUGAUCACCAUUUCUGUGAGAUGGAUUACUAGUACUGAUUUCUAAUUUCAGAUUAAUAUAUUGCAUGAUUUUAGAUUAGAAGAAAAAGCAAAUAGCGAAAGGUAUUGUCCCUGAUGAAUCUUUAAAGCGUCGAGAAGACUCAGGGCUUCUGUCUUCCAUUCAUUCCAAAGAACAUUCUGUUAUGUGUUUUUCAAAUAAAGGCAUUAGUUAAGGGAAUGUUGGGGCAAUGGUCUGCCUCUACGCCUCCCAUCCAGGUUGCCUAAGUAAAGGCCUUGGGCCCAGAGCAUUCUCUGAUAAGGAGACUGGGAAUUGGGUUGCCUUCUCUCUCUCUCUUCCUUCUCCUUAUCAGAGAAGCUUCCUCUCUUUCUCUCUCUCUCUCCCUUCUCCCUAUCAGAGAAGCUUCCUCCCAUUCUGCUCACACAGUAACUUUCUCUGUCUCUUGCAAAUGCGUGGGCACCACAUGGCACCUGGCCAACCCCACUUCUGAAUCUGUUUGUAGUGGGGAGGGAACAGGGUCUCUGUACUAGGGCACAAGAGGGGUAAUGUGUACCCAAGUGUAAGAGCCAACUUUGAGGGGCGGACUGAAGGGGAAACAGGCUUUGUGUGUCCGAACAUGAGCACCCUCAUGUGGUCUGUUAGUUCACUACUGUUUGCUGAGUCAUUCUAAUAUAAACUCGUCACUUGUAGCCACUGUUGUCCACCACUAUAAAACCUCUGCCUUCCCGCUGCGGAACUCGGUACUGCAGCACCCAGGACUUGGCCUGCUAUGUAAGUCUCCCUAAUAAACUCUUUGCUGCAACACUGGAGUUGCCUGCUUUCUUUGGUCUCUGGGCACCCUCCAUUUUUGGAUGGAAGUUUCACAUUCCCGGUCCAUGCGUGGACAAUUGGUCAGUCAGCCAGGAAACUGAGGAAAUGGCGAGUGGGAGUGAGACCUCUGAGGGGGAAAUCCUGGGCUGACUAGUGACCUCCAUGUGGGGACAUCUGGCCUGUAUCCCUUUCUGCAGGGGAAAUCCUGGGCUGCCCAGAGACCGCCACAUGGGCAGGUCUGGCCAGUAUGCUUGAUGCCUGUGGACCACCACUUGAGUAUGGGGAUGCCCCCAAAAUGCCAAGCAGCAUACCCCAGUUGUGGGCAGAUGCAGGCCUUGAUAAGUGUGGAAGAGAAGCUAGGAGAAUAUUAGUGGCCAUGGGGUAGCUCCUGCUCUGGGCUGUUUGGCUGGUCACUAAGGCCCAGUUAGCUGCUGAAGCCCAUGUAAGAGCUUUCCAGAAAGAGUUACAGUUGGAAAGGGAUGUGGCAGCAGUCCUGUGUGGCCACGACUGACA